AUGUAAGGGGCUCCAGCUUCAAAGCUGGAAUUCGCAAAGCUCUGCCAAAGUUAAAGCCAACUUGCAUCAUAAAAUUACACUGAAUCAGUUACCAGGGGAUUCGCCCUGGACUAGAAAGAAGACUUUCUCACCGCGAGCAAACACGCAUCUCCUUGCACUAAAGAGAAGUGAAGCCAUUUUACUUGUAGAUUUUGUUUUAUAGCAGUGGCAUCGCCUUCUGGAUCUCAAUGCACAGGGACUUUUUUUUUACAUCAAGGAAUUGCGUGUGGGUUGCAUGAACGAACUGCUUCGCGGCAAUGGGUCCAGGGUGUAGAACGCUGGGAGGUCCGAGGUCGACUGCAGGCUGAGCUGCUUGCUUUCUUCUCUUCCAGUUUACAAUUCUGCUUGACAAGGUUUAUUUACAGCACUUCAGACAAGCACCAAAGUCCCUGAUGUGUUCCUUCCUUUUGGAUCUCAAGGGCUCUGGAGUCCUACUCAGUGACAUGACAUGGGAGUGAUCCAGAGACUGAUGGCUGCAUGUUGCACAUGGAGGCAUGUAAAAGUCUGAGGUAGAAGGCACCUGUCCUGGCUUACUCACCCAACAUUCCUGGACAUAUUGCUGCUGGGGAGGCUGAGGAGAAACCCUCUCCUCACUAAUGUGUUAAUAUAUGAUUAGGAUAGUUCCUGUUAGCACUCAGGAAUUUCCACUGCCCUGCCCUCAGGGUGCCAUAGGUGAGGCACAUAAAAGCCCUCCCUUUCCACCCAGCAGCUCUCUCCUCUCUCCCCUCUCUCGUCUCCCUGUCUGUCUGCUUGUCCCUACUCUGAGAUGGCCUCUCAUUCUGCCCCUCUCCUCCAUUAACCUCUUACACUAGAUCUUAUUGGCACUCCUUGGUACCCAAAGGUACCCAUCUCCUUUGCCGCUUUAUCUCAUCCCUUCCCUUCUUUACCAAAGAUGCCCAGUAAACUCCAGUGUUUGAACUCUUGGGACUCUCAUGAUUUUGUGCUCAACUGUGCUCCAGAUUGUCUGUGCAUAAAGACUGUCUAGGAAGAACAAGGUGUCAGAAGCCCCUUUCCCUGGCUUGGAACUGGCAAACUGAGCUCAUUUCUAGUCUAUAUGCCUUUCACUGACUUGACAGCACUGUAACUGCAGACUCAUGAGUGGUUUUACCUGCCUGGAUGCCAAGUAUCACUGUUUAUACUGUAUUGGGUAUGCUGUUUGGAUAAAAGAUUCUUGUGUUGGAAAAAGAAAGAAAAACUGUUGUUUAAAACAUGGUUCAGGAGCAGAAUGUUGAAAGGCUAGCUCAGCCGUCAUUACCCUACAUUUCUCUUUUUCUUGCCUUUUCUUUCAGUGUCGUGGAAGCAUUUGUUUCAGGUAGCACAACUAGGAGGCUGGUUUCUGAAAGCCUCUGGGGCCAAUGCUGUGCUGCAAGGCUUUAGAGACUUCCAGGAACUCCCUGCUUCUUUUGGUAAGUCUGUAGGUCUUCAGAUUAGGGAUGUGUGCAACAACAGGGACGAAUCCCUAAAGACAUGAGUGAGGGAAGCCAAAUGGAAUCUCGAACCAACAAACCCACCCAAGGAGGCAAAUGUAAACCAUCCCUGGAGACGCUUGUGGGUCUCACAAGGCACAUUAAGGGAAUUCCUGAGAUGAAUGACACGUUCCACCUCUUGUUUGGGGUAUUGUCACAGGUGAGCAGAACUGUUGAAGUUGCCAGGCUUAAUGUCUACAUUUGAUGCAUUUUAUUAUGUUUUUAAAGUUUUGAAAAUGAAACACAUCAAGAUUCUUAUUACAUUAAACAUACCCUGAACCUGUUUGUACUGGAUCUCGGUUGCACAACUCCUAACUGUAGCACCUUUACCUACUAACCAAUUGUUCUUAGAUUUGUUUUCAUAUUUAUAAACUGGUAGUAGAAACAGUUCUUGGUGCAAAGGGAGCUGGAUGUAGGGGUGAGCUGAUGCUCUGAAGCUCUGUGUGAGCAAUGUGAAGUUCUGUGAGAGCCUACCACCUCUUUUCCCUUAGUUCACUGAAGUCUCCUGGCUGCUUCAUGUUGCCGCCACUCUUUUUCUCAAAUCCACAGGACACCAUUCCCACAGACUGCAUACCUGAGCAUAAUGUUCUGCAACUGAGGCAGGCAGUGUCAGCACGAUGGCAUUUGUGUCCUCUGUAUGAUCACAGACCAUGGGAAGUAAGAAUGCCACAGGGAUGGUUCAGUUCCAUCAUACUCACCCAACGCAAGGCCCACUCUUGACCAAACACUGUUCUAAGGUUUUUGACUUUACCUGAACAAAUCUCAUGUGAAUUACUUAACUUUCAGGGGUUCUAGUUUGACACGUCAAACAGUAACAUUAUAAUGUAGAUAUUUUGUGGUUUUGGCAGUGCUGUGGUGGGGAAGAGGGAGCUGGUGGAGAAUGGGAGAUCAAGGAGGAGGAGGAGGAGGAGGAGGAGGAGGAGGGAGAGGAGAAAAAGAGGAGAAGGAGGAGGAAGAAGAGGGGGAGGAAAAAGACAAUGGGGGUGGGAAGAAAGAAUUUACUGGAACCCUGCUGGCUUCCAUUCUGUGGGCACUUGAACCUCUCCAGGGUAGGCUGGCAGAGCCUUUAUUCCAAAGCCUGGCAUUUCUCCCCAAGGCACCAUUUCCAACUAAUGAGGGUAACUCAAGUGAAUCCACAGGAAAGAAAAAGGAAAGUGAUAUUUUAAUUUUACCCAGUUCAGAACAUUCAAAGGAAUGUGCCUGCAGUUCUGACUCAUGAAUGUAUCAAUGCUUUAUUUUAGGAGCAGAAAUGUGUUCAGUCCAAAUUGGCCGUGGAGUGAAUAAACAUUAUUUUUCCACUAAAUACACCUCUAAAACAAUGGGAAAUCUUUCUACAAAGACUGGAAAGAAAAAAACAAAAACAACAAAACCACACAGCAAUGACGAGCCUCACCACCCAGAAAAGGGAGCCCCAGAGCUGACCAUACUGGCUGUAAAGGACAUCCCUGCCUUCAGGCAGUCUGUGUUGCCUUCCCCAGAUACCAGGCUGGAAGGAUUGUUCCAAUUUCCCCCAGCUUUACUCCAUUCUGUUACCUGAGAUCUAUGCGACAUCAGGACCAGCAUGCAUUUGGCUCACUGGUUUUGGCUCCUAAUUAAGCAAUUAGUAAAUUCAUAAUUGUGCACAUCAAAUACAUAUGUGCUGGGCAGUGCCGUUGUGCAAGGUUGACAUGCGAGCUUUAGCCUCCCACAUCCCCCUUUAAGAUUCAUCCCCUUAGCAGCUAUUCAAACAGGCCAGUUUGUCUAUAGGGAGUUGGCAUGAGUAAUGUACAGCUCAGAGGAUUAGAGGAAGGAAAGAGGGAGCAUGUGUGUGCAUACACAUACACACACACACAUACACAUACACACACUCCUCUUGAGUUGACUAUUUAUUGAGGAAGUAUUAAGAAGGGGUAGAGCCAAGAGGGGUAGUUUAAUGAUGGUAGAGACAGAAAUGCAGUAAUAACAAUAUAAAUGCAGAAUUCUAUAUCAGUAUAUGGCCCUUUUAUUCAUUAAUCACAGAAUGAAAA